UACAGAGGGGGCAAGCGUUGUUCGGAAUUACUGGGCGUAAAGGGCGCGUAGGCGGCCUUCUAAGUCGAACGUGAAAUCCCCGGGCUCAACCCGGGAACUGCGUCCGAUACUGGAAGGCUUGAAUCCGGGAGAGGGAUGCGGAAUUCCAGGUGUAGCGGUGAAAUGCGUAGAUAUCUGGAGGAACACCCGUGGCGAAGGCGGCCAUCUGGACCAGCACUGACGCUGAGGCACGAAAGCGUGGGGAGCAAACAGG
rnacentral:rRNA from 1 species